UUUAGCUUUUAUUGUUCCAGGGGCACCAGCCUUACUGUACGACAUGGGGGGAUUGCUCACAGUCUUACUGCUAAUGAACCUCCUCAUAGGUCCCCUCUAUGGGGUGAAAGUGACCCAAGACAAAAAGCUUCUAAUUAUCGGCUCAGGGGAAGAUGCGGAACUUUCCUGUCGCCAUGACGACAGCAGCUACUACAACAUGUACUGGUACCAGGAGAAGCCGGGCCUGGGCCUGAAGCUCAUGUUGUUCUCACUAAAUGCUGGUUCUGAAACCCUGGAGAGUGACUACCGGGCCGACUGGGAGGCGGAGAGAAAAGUCGUUCUCAACUCAACUCUGCGACUGAAGAAAGGGAACGUGGGGGAUUCUGCCACUUAUUUCUGUGCAGCGAGUAUCCACGGCAACGCAAGGCUCCCUGCCCCCUGGCACCAAACCCCCCCCUGGCACCAAACCCAAAGACCCCCAGCGUUGGGCUGGGACCCCCAUGGGAAUGGGCUCAGUUAUGGGGAAAGUUUUGAAACCCUGAUCCUCAUUACACUCCAUGAUCCGAGGGCCGUUAGACCCCGCCUCCUGGCUACAUAG